ensembl:lncRNA
UGAAGGUAGUUCUCCUCUUCAUAAAUCAGUCAGUUAAAACGGCCUCAUUCUUUAGGUUAUAAGGUAAUGAGCCGCCAUUUUAGAACCACUGAUUAGCUGCUGAAGCAGCAGGGUCGGCAACUUUAAAGGAGCCAUUUUACCGCCUCUGACUUUAGGCCGGGAGAAAAAGAUUCACGUGCCUGUGCCGGUGUGUGUUUGUGUUGUGGGUUAAUUAACAGAAGGGAGAGAGAGAAGUGAAAGAGAUCUUUGGUUUUGCCUUUGCUGACUGCUGAUCUGAUCGUCUCAAGUCUGGUGACCUGCUGCAGAAAACCCUCUCCCUCUACCAUUAACAAGCAAUUCAGUCUGUCCUAUCACUCUCCCUCUCCCUGCUCCAUCUUUUUUGACAAGCCAUUCUAUCUUCUAUCAUUUCUCCGCCACGAGCUCUAAGUUGACAAGCUUGAACCUGAGUUGAAAAGCAAAACAAGUUUGCCUGAAACCCAAGUUUGAGAUGAAACCAAGUUUGAGAUGAAACCAAGUUUGAGAUGAAACCAAGUUUUUGGAAUUGAAGUUACCACAACUUCAUCGAUCUGUUUUCAGAAUUCGGAGAGAUCUCCGCUCUCACGGCUCCUUCUUUCCUGUCAUUAAACUUUCAUAUCCACUCAUUUUGCUGGAAAUUACAAGUAAAAAGUUGAAUAUACAGUAGUAGAAUUACAGUACAGUAGAACUCACUGUAGAAACUACUUACAGAGCCCUACAUUUGUCAUUUUAAUUUUGCAUUACACUUUGAAAUAAACACUGAUAGUUUGGCUUACAAGUGCAAUUUGAUCAAUUAUAUAAACUUAUAUACACCUUUUUUUAGAUAUAUUUGUAUUAAGAUAAUCUGGUUAUUU